AAAGAAACAGGCCGAGGGAGACAACGUGCGUGGAAACCAUAGCAACGUCCUUUCUGGCCUCUGUUGACUGCCUCUCUUCCCCGGGCCUGGACUCUACACCUGACAAAGCAAAAUACUCAUUGACUUAAAUUCCCCCGAAACACGUUUCUCGCCCUCUCAUGGAGUCGAAGUCCUUCGGCCUCUGAGAAGACUCUUUGAGAUCUGCUCUCCGGACGAAAAAUAGAUUGAUUCAUACACGUCAUCUGCCUAAGUGCUAAGGAAAAGAAAUAAACAUACUGUGAGUUUCCUAUAUCAUCUUCCCACUAAUUUAACUACAUAAAGUGAAAUCAAUAAAGAUAUAUGGGAAACACCUGCAGGGUUUAGAAUAAAAAAUUAUGUCAGCUUCUA